rnacentral:tRNA from 1 species
ACUUAUAUAGUUUAAUAAAACAUUACAUUUUCAAUGUAAAAAUAAAAAAAUUUUUUUGUAAGUA